UGUCAGGAAGUACAAAGUGCACAAAGGAUUAUUCUCACAGCCAUUCGCAAAGCUUCGAACAGAACGACACUGUAGCAGAGUCGUCGAUCGGCACUGUAGCAGCGUCACUGUUCAUCGCAAAAAAAAAAAAAUAAAUAAAAGAUCCAAGGAAGAAGAGUUGAUAUACCAGCAGUGAUCGACGACAACAUGCCAUUGUGAGUCGACAGAGCAUCACGAGUAUCG
rnacentral:lncRNA from 1 species